CAUUCUCUAGGCGGCGAAGGUUUGCUGUGAGGCAUGCUGGAGCGUAGAGAAGCGCAAAUGUAGGCAUAAGUAACGAUAAUGCGGGUGAGAAACCCGCACACCGAUAGACUAAGGUUUCCCCGGCAAUGCUAAUCAGCCGGGGGUCAGUCAGGACCUAAGGCGAACCCGAAGGGGGUAGUCGAUGGCCAACGGGUUAAUAUUCCCGUACCACCUUUAUUUUCGAUGGAGUGACGGAGUAGUGAAAGCACCGCGUACUGACGGAAU
rnacentral:rRNA from 1 species